rnacentral:rRNA from 1 species
UAGGGAAUCUUCCGCAAUGGGCGAAAGCCUGACGGAGCAACGCCGCGUGAGUGAUGAAGGUCUUCGGAUCGUAAAACUCUGUUAUUAGGGAAGAACAAAUGUGUAAGUAACUAUGCACGUCUUGACGGUACCUAAUCAGAAAGCCACGGCUAACUACGUGCCAGCAGCCGCGGUAAUACGUAGGUGGCAAGCGUUAUCCGGCAUUAUUGGGCGUAAAGCGCGCGUAGGCGGUUUUUUAAGUCUGAUGUGAAAGCCCACGGCUCAACCGUGGAGGGUCAUUGGAAACUGGAAAACUUGAGUGCAGAAGAGGAAAGUGGAAUUCCAUGUGUAGCGGUGAAAUGCGCAGAGAUAUGGAGGAACACCAGUGGCGAAGGCGACUUUCUGGUCUGUAACUGACGCUGAUGUGCGAAAGCGUGGGGAUCAAACA